rnacentral:lncRNA from 10 species
GUUAAGAAAAUGUGCCAAGAUUACCUCAGUAAUUCUGGUCUGUGUUCUCAGGAGACCCUGGAAAUAAACAAUGUGUCUUCUGUGGCUUCAGCGUCACCUAGUGCAGGCUGCCAUUCAACAAACGCAUUGUCAACAGUCAACCAAAAGAAACCCAUUGGCCACCAUACCCUGAGGACUAACCCUGACACAGAUGCCCUUCCAGAUGCCCUCAGUAGUCUAACUGAUUCCAUCGCCCCAGCCUUGGGGGAGAAGCACUGCUGCCUAUGCACUCCAUUUACAGGUGAACUGUCACCCCUACAACUCAGCUUGCAACCAGCCCUGGCCACCACCAGUUUCCCCACACUGAGCUGAAUAUUGGACAUGCCCAUCUUAGACAUUCCAGCCCAUUCUGAAAUUCCACAUCGAUUCACCCGACAAAGUCUGAAGUUCCAGGGCAAUUUAUCUGGAAAAGCUCACCUGGAAUCAUGUGUCAUUUCAACCAACAACUGUUGAAGAGGACGUGGCAUCAAAACCAAGGUUAUCAAUUAUUUAUAAGGGUUGUGUGGUGGUUGGUCCAAGCAUCUCUCCUUCAUGCCAUCACUCCUUUCAAGAGCUGCCUCUAUUUUCUAAUUUAGCACAGGAAUUUAGAUGCCCCUAAAUAAGUAGGCAUCCAGUAUCUGCCCACACCAGUUUUAGUGAGAGUACAUAUGGAGACACUACCACCACCCCUGCUCUCCUACUGCAUACCCCACCAUGCCAAAGCAUGGUGGCUCACACCUGUAAUCCCAGUGCUUUGGGAGGCCAAAGAGGAGGAACACUUGAGGCCAGAAGUAUGAGACCAGCCUGGGCAACAUAGUGAGACCUCAUUUCUAUAAAUAAGUUAAAAAAACAAAAAAAUAGGGCAUAGUGGUGCACAUGUGUGGUCCCAGUUACUCAGCAGGCUGAGGCUGGAAGAUCACUUGAGCCCAGGAGUUUGAGGCUGCAGUGAGCUAGGAUUAUGCCACUGCACUCUAGCCUGGGCAACAGAGAGAGACCCCAUCUCUAAAAAGAGGGAGAAGAAGGAAGGAGGAGGAAGAAGAGGAAGAGGAGGAGGAGAAAUACUGCUCUUUCUCAGGCCCAAGGUAAAAAGGUUUUUGGUCUCAUGUUGACCAGAAAGACAUUGAUAUUUAAUUAAGCAAUAUAAAAAGGCUCAUUGUUAGGAUUAAAGAGUAAGUAAAAUCAAUAUUGAGAUAGGAGGAUGGAGGACACCAACUGAGUUCCGAUCCCAAUGAAGAGGAGAAAAAGCUACAACUAUCUAGGUGAAAUAUCUACUUAUCCUAGAAGAAGCCUUUUGACAGCAACAUAAAAUUCAUACCUAUAGGUUUUUAAUUCCUAUGGAUGCCGUAGCAAAUAACAAAAACUUGGAUGGUGUAAAGUAACAGAUGUUUACUCUUUUCCAGUAUUGGAGACCAGGAAUCUGAGAUCAAGGUGUGGGCAGGGGUGCGCUCCCCCUGGAGGUUCUAGGAGAGGAUCCUUCCUGCCUCUUCCAGCUCCUGGUGGCUCCAGGUGUCCCUGGGCUUGUGGCCACAUCACUACAUUCUCUGCCUCCAUCUCCACGUGACCUUUUCCUCUGUGUCUGUGUCUCCUCUUCUGUCUCUUAGAAGGACACUGGUCAUUGGAUUUAAAGGCCACCUGGGUAAUUUAUAGUGAUCUAAUCUCAAGAAUCUUUCCUUAAUUACAUGCAAAUACUCUUUAUCCAAAUUAGUUUGCAUUCACAAAUUCUGGAGCUUAGUACUUGGACAUAUAUUUUGGGGGGUUGAUGGUUGGAGGGGCUUUUAUUCAACUCAGUACAUCUUAAUAAGGAAUUAAUGCCCCCCAACUUGCCUUACAAGUCAUAUAUUAAAAACAAUGUUGGCCUGGCACAGUGGCUCAUGCCCGUAAUCUCAACACUUUGGGAAGCCAAGGGAGGAGGAUCACUUGAGCCCAGGAGUUGGAGACCAGCCUGGAUAACAAAGGGAGACCCAGUUUCUACAAAAUAUUUAAAAAUUAGCCAGGCAUGAUGGUGCAUGCCUGUGGUCCUAGCUAUUCAGGAAACUGAGGUGGGAGGAUCACUUGAGCCUGGAAGUUCAAGACAGCAGUGAGCUAUGCUCACACCACUGCACUCCAUCCUGGGCAACAGAGCUGGACUCUGUCUCAAAAAACAUAACACUAAAACAUCAAAAUUAAAAAAAAAAAAACAA